rnacentral:rRNA from 1 species
AAUGAACGCUGGCGGCAGGCCUAACACAUGCAAGUCGAACGGAUCCUUCGGGAUUAGUGGCGGACGGGUGAGUAACGCGUGGGAACAUACCCUUUGGUACGGAAUAGCCUCGGGAAACUGGGAGUAAUACCGUAUGUGGUCGAGAGACGAAAGAUUUAUCGCCUGAGGAUUGGCCCGCGUUGGAUUAGGUAGUUGGUGGGGUAAUGGCCUACCAAGCCGACGAUCCAUAGCUGGUUUGAGAGGAUGAUCAGCCACACUGGGACUGAGACACGGCCCAGACUCCUACGGGAGGCAGCAGUGGGGAAUCUUAGACAAUGGGGGAAACCCUGAUCUAGCCAUGCCGCGUGAUCGAUGAAGACCUUAGGGUUGUAAAGAUCUUUCAGGUGGGAAGAUAAUGACUGUACCACCAGAAGAAGCCCCGGCUAACUCCGUGCCAGCCGCCGCCGUAA